AUGGAGACAAGUACCCAGGAGUGUUAUUAUUGGGGACACUGCGUUCUGAGGAAAAAGCCGAAUUCCUUUGCUUAUAAGGAUUUUAAGGUGACCUUUAACAAGGAGCCAGCUGGGUUCUUAGUUCACAGUACUUUAGAACAUUUUAAUUCCGAGGUUUUGAAAGACCAGAUGGAUCCAGAGAGAAAUACUUCUAGGCAUAGUUCCCAGAAAGAGAAACCGGAGCUCCCCUGCCGUUUGGGGUCGGGGAUCAGACGCUGGCCCAGUUCUCCUCUUCCACCAGCUUUUCGGCCCCAGAUUCAGGAAAUCCCUGCCGUUCCGGAGGUCCUUUCCCACACUGCCUCUCUGCUUCCUCCUUCAAGGAAAUGAGGAGACCCAGGUCCGGGGAUAAUGCAAGAACGACGCCACUGCUCUGAAGCGGGGGAGCGAGUCCAACUGACGACAAAAGUCAUCGGCACCUGACUUCUCGCGAGACUUCCUCUGCACAUUCAUUAGAAGGCUGCGCAAACCCAGCCCUGCCUGUGGCACGUGACCCUCAGGUAGCUCUCUGAAUGUGAAGGUGCUUUAAUGUAGAUCCCUAGGAAGACCUAUGAGGACGAGAAACUGGGGGAGGAGUUAAAGAGGGAGGAGAGGAGCUGGAAUCAGCAGCCCCAGAUAGAGGGAUUAGCUAAGGACAAAGGAAAGAGAGGUAGGUUUCCAGAUGUGAGAAAUGGGAGCCUGAGGGAGAUAAAAAACAAAAAACAAAACAAAACAAAAAAACAAGGAGAGGGGAGGAAGCAGCUGAAGCUGCAAAUCAAUUAACAGGGAGAUAUUCGGCUUUUUUUUUUUUUUUUUUUUUUGACAGCUAAGCCUCUGACCACAUAGCCUGGGGCAGAAGGAAGGUUGGCAAGUUAAUCAAGGAUGGAGUCAAAAAGCAGUUCCUUAAGGUAGCCAUCAGCCAUCAUGUCUCCAGUGAGGGAUGCUCAGCCUGUUAUGGGCCUCAAAGCUAUGUUGAGUGACAGCAGAUGCCGUGAGAAGAGCACAGGCUUUGAGCUCCUAAAGAGCUGGGUUUCAUCUCAUGCCGUCGCCUUUUUCUUGGUUACCUUGGCAAGGUAGGAGUGUUUUCCAAACUUAGUUUUCAAAUUGGUAGGAUGAGGGUGUCCGUACCUCAGAAGGUUAUACGGGUGUGGGGGCGGGGGGGGGGAUUAAAUCAAAAUCAAGGGAGACCUAGCUAAGCACCUGCCAUGGUGCUGGUGGGCACACAGCAGCCUUCAUAACUGUGAAUUCACAAUCGCCACAGCUGCUCCUUUUGCCACCAAGUGUUUGAGCCAUAAGAAGUGAAUAGAAGGGUCAUCCCAGUUAAGACCCAUGUGACAUUCAUUGAUUGCUG
rnacentral:lncRNA from 1 species